AGAGAGAGAGAGAGAGAGAGAGAGAGGGCUGGAAAUGCACUCUGAAAGCUGCGAACGUUGAGCAGAGAACCUCAUGUCUCUUCUCUGCAAUUUCCCCACAAGCUUCCAUUUUCCAAAGGUCUUCUUCUCCGCCUCAAGAGCUUUCCGCAAGUCCAAUUCCUUUCACAGUCACAAAAAUGACUUCUCUUCCCUCUCUUUCCCCCAUUUUUUCUAUAAGAGGAAGCUCCAAAAUCCUAAUUCAGCCGCUGAAAGAGAAGCUCCUGGCCAUAAAGAACCCCUAAUUCCUGUACAUGGAGAUGGUGGAGCUUUGAUGGAGUUUGAGGAUGUAGAAGAGGAAAGAGAAGUUUUCCAGAGUACUCUAAGACUAGUGGAGUGCGCAAUGUUUGCAGCUGUUGCAGGUUUGGCUUAUUUUCUCAGCAAUUCUCUUGCCAUUGAGAAUUACUUUGGUUGUUUCUUCUCAUUGCCGAUUGUAAUAUCCUCAAUGCGAUGGGGUGUUGCAGCUGGAAGAAAAACCAUGGUGGCAACUGCGAUGUUAUUGCUUACAUUAUCUGGCCCAGUAAAGGCAUUAACCUACCUGCUUAUGCAUGGGCUCGUUGGUUUGGCCAUGGGUUCUUUGUGGAGGUUGGGAGUUAAUUGGCUAUUAUCCAUCAUCUUUUGCUCCUUGGUUCGUGCAAUGGGCGCAAUAGGCUAUGUGUUGAUAUCCUCAUUCUUGUUGAGAGAAAACAUACUUGCUCUGAUCACCAUAAACAUACAUGCUUCUCUCACUUACAUGCUUGCAGCUUUGGGCAUGAACUCAAUCCCAUCGAUGGACGCCGUAUAUACAAUAUUUGGGACUCUGCUUUUACUCAACUGUGGGUUCUUCGUGUUCUUACUGCAUGUUUUAUAUGCUGUAUUUCUGAGCCGACUUGGUAUGAAAGUUUCAUUAUCAUUGCCAAGAUGGCUUGAGAAAGCAAUUUGAUGGCAUGCUGCGUUGCUGAUUCAAGGCUUCUCUGUCAUUUUAUGAACAGACAAAGAAGGUCUCCACCAUCUGUUCUCAAUGGCAAUGAGCAGAGAUGAUCAGUUCCCUCGCCAUUGUAUUGUCAACUAGAGGUAUGGUUCAUCUCCACUGCCCAAAACUGAGAAGGAAUGGUGGGGCUGUCAACGGGUUGGGCUUGCCUGGCCCUAGCCCAGGACUAUUCUCCAUAUGGCCGGCCUGGCUCGGGCAAAAGAAGAUAGGGCUAGGUCAAAGGGCCAAAAAAAAUUUAAAAUAGUAGGAGAGAAUAAAUAAAAAGAGAGCGCUGAACCGGGCCGGCCUUGGCCCAAACUCGGCCCUGGCCCUACCCUUGGGCCAUAGUUUCUCGGCCCUGCUCCGACCCAUGGGCCAUAUUUUGUGGCUUAGGCCCUAGAUUUUAAGGGCCAGCUGACUGGGUUGGGGUGCUAAAGAAAAUUCAUAUUUAGAGAAUAAAAGUUUGCACCUAUUUAGUUGGAAAAUGUUUUUUUCUCUAAAAAUGGGGUAACAACAAGGGUGAUGGAAGAUUUCUCCCCCAAUUUGGUGGGCAAUCAUUUGGAAUCACUAGAGAUGGUUCAUUUCCAAGGAAGAAUAUCUUGGAAAUUAGUUUUCCAGAGUCCAGAACUACAAUGAGACUAUUCGAAUUUGAGCAGAAGGAUUUAAAUCGUGGGUGCCCUGGAUAUUUUGUUUAAAUAGAUGAAUCAAACAUAUAUAAGAGUAACUACGUUUACAUG